UUCCUGCAGUCAUAGGAUAAAACAUUUUUUUCUUUUAAUUGAGCAUUGUUAUUUUCAAGACUACAGAUAAGUCUUAGUAACAAAGAAAGCAGGUUGGAUAGCCACUCCGGGACUCUUGCACAGGCAUUGAAAAGUGCGUAGGUAUAUAGGAAGCUAUGCUUGCCGUAUAUGGCGUCUUGUACCAACUUAAGAGGGUAAUACAGAUAUCACUGCUUUUUGUUUUCUUCAAUUUUCCACCAUCCAAUCUUUCCACACCUUUAAAAUUUUUUGGAAUACUUGACACAACACUUAUAAAACCGUAGAAUGGCCCACAUGAACUUCACAUAAAAAUUUGUAAGAAAUGGCAGGCAGGUAUGGUAAAGCUGUGCUGCUGAAUGAAGAAUCAUAUAUAUUCAAGGGCAGACUUGAGGUUUGAGAGAUAGUCCUGGAGCUCAAGCAAAGCAACAUGAUCCUACAAACCAAAUAUUCUUGAGUACCGUAUCUUGAAUCUAGUGGUUGCCGUGCAACUGGCUGGCUGCAGAUGCCUUCUAGUUAGUUCCUUGUUUACAUUCAGCUGCAAUAUAUGUAAGAGACGAUACACCAGUUUUAAUUUGGCCAGCUUGUGUUACGGCUGACAGCUGAAAAUUCUUGCAAGGCUAUUGAGCAUAAUCAGACUUGUAAAAAAUGCAACAAUUUAAGCUAGAGGCAUGAUCCUGGCAAGUGCCGAAUGCCACUUCUCAGGCACAUCACUGCCAAAAGUAACUUGCAAUUAAGUAGCAUAUAAUGCUGGGCCUAUUGGUGCGGCAAAUUAUCUUAAAUAAGAAACCAGCAUAAGAGUGACGAGGACAGAAACGAAGAAGGCAAAAGUUUAAUUUCCCCUUUAUUAAGCACAUUUUUCCGCUUGGUGAUGCAGACUGUCUCACAGCCUCGUACGGCUGCAGCUGCCCGGCCCUGUGGGCAAUAGCAGACUUAGCGGCGCUGCCAUUCACUUUCUCAAGCUAAGUGGAGGAACGUUCUAGAAUACAGAGGCGAGUCUGUGUAAGCCCGGCUAAGUAAAAUUUUUGAUUCCGAGUCCAAGUGGGCCAAAUUGAGUAGAAUUUUGGUGAAUCCGAGUCAGGGUAGGCACAGAUGAGUAGAAUUUUGAUGAGUUUGAGUCUAAGUGAGCCCUAAGUGAAAAAUAAAUCUUGUAAGCAAGUCUAAGUGAAUUCCGUUUAACAGCAUUGGUCUGCAAGUUAAACAGAACUCGCUUAGACUCGCUGACAAAAUACAUUUCUUGCUUAGGGAUUACUAGGAUUCAGAUUCACCUAAAUUUUACACAGCCGGGCUCACUCAGACUAGUCAAAAUUCUACUUGGCUGGGCUCACUCAAACUCGCCAAAUUUCUACUGAGCCGUGCUCACUCGAACAGAGACUCGCCAAAAUUCUACUCAUCUGGGCUCUAACUCACCAGCACUCGUUCACCCAGAUUCACAAGCUAGAUUCACAAGCAAGUCCUAAGGAGUCGAGUCAUCAUUCACGACCUGCUGCCAUAGGCACUCACACGGGCUACACAGCACCAUUGACUCUCACUCAUGCUCACUCCGACUUCCACUGAAACAUGUUCAUACACGCCAUCCCUUUAAAAUUAUGGGGUUUUACAUGCCAAAACCACGAUCUGAUUAUGAGGCACGCCGUAGUGGGGGACUCCGGAAAUUUGGACCACCUUAGGUUCUUUAACGUGCACCUAAAUCCAAGUACACGGGUGUUUUCGCAUUUCGCCCCCAUCGAAAUGCAGCCGCCAUGGCCGCGAUGCAAUCCCACGACCUCAUGCUCAGCAGCCCAAGCCCAACACCAUACACCCCAUCCCUUUACCACUCACCGGCACUCACUUGCACUCGUACUUGCAUGUACAGUAGAACAUCAUUCAUACAUUUAGGAAGAAAACGCGAGAAAAAAACAACCAGAAAAACAUACGACCUGAAGUCAAUAAAAAAUUUGGUGGACUCAACUCAUUAUGCGAAACAUCGCGCUAACUGUUGCUGCACGAGGUGCCAAUGUGUGCCGAGCGAGCGGGGCCCGAGCAGCCCAAGACACCCGAAGCAAGCUUAUGUUUACACUCCCCAUAUUUGGCCUCUGUCAGCAGCAUCCUUGGGCAGCGCAUUUUGGUGGGAAGUGUUGCAGCACAAGACGCCGCAGACACGCCUCGAUGUUGGGAUCGAGCAACCCGAGAUGUGCUUUGUUGUUUUCCUACUGCACAGUGUUUAAAAAAGGCGGCGGGAAACCAAAACGCAAUCAAGCUGGUGAGCGAAACUGGAAUAAAAUGCCGCCAGAGUGAAGCAUGACACUCACUCCACAAUGCCUGCAACAGGAAAUGGCAGCACGUUUCCACACACGCUGUCAAACAGAUAGGCAAAGAUGCUUAUUGCAAAAGGCUUGGCGGCGACAGCUGCAGAUGCAACAUGUGAUGACCUGUGAGAUUUGCUGGUACUGGAAGAGAAAACAGUGCAUGCUGGUAUUUUCAUGUGACACAGGCAGACGAGUACUAAGGAGAAGCUGCUGUGGCAGACGCCUAGUUCUCUCGAUCAUGCGUGCCUCACGCCUUUUUGCGGCCAGAAAAUCUACCAUACGACUGCAGUUUGGCGAUGUACUGAGCCGUAAGGUCGUGUUUUUCGGGAAUGUAUGAACCAGUAAAAGAAGCGCGACUGUAUUCGGUCACUUUUUGUGUUCUCGAUCACUAACGUUGGCGCCGGAAAAUUGGACGAAACGGAAUCGUAUCAAUCAGGUUCUACUGCACUCGUUGAGUCACUCGCUUCCUCCUUGCAUUUGCUCACAUUCGUAUUCAUGUCCCCUCACUCACCAGCACUGCUGUUUCUACUCGUGUCCGCUCAUACCCCCUUUUUUUUUUACACUCAACCUGCUAAAGUGUUGAGUAUGAGUGAGUACUCUUGAGUGAGUAUGCUGACCUAUGAAUUUUAGCAGCAGAAGUUGGACUUAGCCCGCAAUGAGUAAACUCAAUAUCAACCAGAUUAGAAGCUACAGACACCUAACACCCAUAUUUCACAAAGAUAGGCUUACACAAUGCAUUUUAUGUCCUGGCACGUUACAUUUGUGAAAACUGAUUUUUUUAUUAUACGUCCACUGUUCACAUCUGCUCAUUCAGGAUCACUGUUUCUAAUGGACACGACUCAUGGAUACACUGUUAUAUUCACCGAAAAUGAUAUGAAGUCAUCCUCGCAUGUAGUUUCGUGAUCACGUAAGCACCAGCUCACUGGGACUCGCAAUCAGUCGGAGUCAUCUCGACACACACAGGCUCAGAUUCACACCUACUCAGACUCUCCUCGAUACACUCAGACACAUCUUGUCGACCUCGAACCUCUGCUUAACCUGAUCCAGGGUUGGGCGAUAUCACACCUUUCAGGCUCAGCUCAAUUCACUCAGACUAAAACUUCACUGGGCCUCACCUCAGUUUAUUUGCCACCGUAUUCUCAAAUGAUCCUUGACUUGAAGCUGUCCCUUCACUCCACUGAGUUGAGUACAGUGCCACCCCUCAACUUAGGAAGAUGCUACGCUUCUCAAGAAUUGACUUGGAGUGUCAAUGAAGUGCAGUGGCCACUUCUGUGGAGGGGCACCACUGCCAUUAACUUUCUUGAGUCAAAGUGGAGUUUUGAGUGAAGGAACGUUGAAUUAUAUGGGGUUCUGACUCACUGGUCAGUCCGCAUUUGAGUGAUUCGACUGAUGAGCAAGUUUGCUGCUAUGGUGCCAAGUCUGAGCGGUUGUACAGCAAAGCAAAUAAAACAUUGCAUCU